rnacentral:misc_RNA from 1 species
AGCAGCCGCGGUAAUUCCAGCUCCAAUAGCGUAUAUUAAAGUUGUUGCAGUUAAAAGCUCGUAGUUGAAUUUCGGGGUUAGCAGGUCGGUCGUGCCAUCGGUAUGAACUGGUCUCGCUGAUCCCUCCCUCUUGACGAACUGUGAUGCCAUUAAUUUGGUGUCGCAGGGAAUCAGGACUGUUACUUUGAAAAAUUGAGUGUUUAAAGCAGGCUCACGCUUGAAUACAUUAGCAUGGAAUAAUGAAAUAGGACGUUUGAUCCUAUUUUGUUGGCUUCUAGGAUUGGCGUAAUGAUUAAUAGGGAUAGUUGGGGGCAUUAGUAUUCAAUUGUCAGAGGUGAAAUUCUUGGAUUUAUUGAAGACUAACUACUGCGAAAGCAUUUUGCCAAGGAUGUUUUCAUUAAUCAAGAACGAAAGUUAGGGAUCGAAGACGAUCAGAUACCGUCGUAGUCUUAACCAUAAACUAUGCCGACUAGGGAUCGGAUGAUGUUAAUUUUUAAUGACUU